AUUGAACGCUGGCGGCACGCCUAACACAUGCAAGUCGAGCGGCAGCGCGAUAUGUAGCAAUACAUAUUGGCGGCGAGCGGCGGACGGGUGAGGAACACGUAGGAACCUACCCUCGAGUGGGGGAUAACCAAGGGAAACUUUGGCUAAUACCGCAUGAUUUCGAGAGAGCAAAGCUGCCGCAAGGUGGCGCUCGAGGAGGGGCCUGCGUCCGAUUAGCUAGUUGGUGAGGUAAGAGCUCACCAAGGCGAUGAUCGGUAACUGGUCUGAGAGGGCGACCAGUCACACUGGGACUGAGACACGGCCCAGACUCCUACGGGAGGCAGCAGUGGGGAAUUUUGGACAAUGGGGGAAACCCUGAUCCAGCCAUCCCGCGUGUGCGAUGAAGGCCUUCGGGUUGUAAAGCACUUUUGGCAGGAAAGAAACGUCAUGGGCUAAUACCCCGUGAAACUGACGGUACCUGCAGAAUAGCACCGGCUAACUACGUGCCAGCAGCCGCAGUAAGAC
rnacentral:rRNA from 1 species